rnacentral:rRNA from 1 species
UACGGAGGGUGCAAACGUUGCUCGGAAUCAUUGGGCGUAAAGCGCACGUAGGCGGCUUUGUAAGUUAGAGGUGAAAGCCCAGGGCUUAACCCUGGAAUUGCCUUUAAGACUGCAUCGCUAGAAUCGUGGAGAGGUAAGUGGAAUUCCGAGUGUAGAGGUGAAAUUCGUAGAUAUUCGGAAGAACACCAGUGGCGAAGGCGACUUACUGGACACAUAUUGACGCUGAGGUGCGAAAGCGUGGGGAGCAAACAGG